rnacentral:rRNA from 1 species
UACGUAGGGCGCAAGCGUUAUCCGGAAUUAUUGGGCGUAAAGAGCUCGUAGGCGGUUUGUCGCGUCUGCCGUGAAAGUCCGGGGCUCAACUCCGGAUCUGCGGUGGGUACGGGCAUACUAGAGUGAUGUAGGGGAGACUGGAAUUCCUGGUGUAGCGGUGAAAUGCGCAGAUAUCAGGAGGAACACCGAUGGCGAAGGCAGGUCUCUGGGCAUUAACUGACGCUGAGGAGCGAAAGCAUGGGGAGCGAACAGG